GACGUAGGGGGCCAGCGUUGUUCGGAAUUACUGGGUGUAAAGGGUUCGUAGGCGGUGUGGCAAGUCGGGAGUGAAAUCUCUGGGCUCAACUCAGAGACUGCUUCCGAAACUGCUGUGCUGGAGUGUGGGAGAGGCGCGUGGAAUUGCAGGUGUAGCGGUGAAAUGCGUAGAUAUCUGGAGGAAUACCGGUGGCGAAGGCGGGUCUCUGGGCCGUAACUGACGCUGAGGAGCGAAAGCGUGGGGAGCGAACAGG
rnacentral:rRNA from 1 species